rnacentral:rRNA from 1 species
UACAGAGGGUGCAAGCGUUGUUCGGAAUCACUGGGCGUAAAGCGCACGUAGGCGGAUCUUUAAGUCAGGGGUGAAAUCCUGGAGCUCAACUCCAGAACUGCCUUUGAUACUGGAGAUCUCGAGUCCGGAAGAGGUGAGUGGAACUCCGAGUGUAGAGGUGAAAUUCGUAGAUAUUCGGAAGAACACCAGUGGCGAAGGCGGCUCACUGGUCCGGUACUGACGCUGAGGUGCGAAAGCGUGGGGAGCAAACAGG